AUGCGAAGGUCCCAGCAGAGGGGCGAGUAACUCUUGUUGUUGAGGCCUCUCUAACCAUGAACUUUGAUACCCUUCGCAUACUUAAUCGCCGAAUCGUAGGAUGCCCAAACUUUUUUUGAUUUUUGGUGCAUCUGGAACCCUCGGCUAUAUCCUA